UCAAUAGUCUCUUAAUUGGUGACUUGUAUGAAAGAUUGGAUGAAAUAUAUACUGUCUCUAAUUAAUUUAUAGAAAUUAAUUUUUUAGUAAAAAAGCUAAAAUAAUUUUAAAAGACGAGAAGACCCUAUAGAGUUUAAUAAUUUAUUUAAUUAUAUUUAUUAUAUAAUUUUUAAAAUUAAAAUUAAAUGAAUUAUUUUGUUGGGGUGAUAGAAAAAUUAAAUUAACUUUUUUUAAUUGUUAACAUUAAUUUAUGAUUAAAUGAUCCAUUAAUAAUGAUUAAAAGAAAAAAUUACCUUAGGGAUAACAGCGUAAUUUUUUUUUUUAGUUCAAAUAGGAAAAAAAGU
rnacentral:rRNA from 1 species